rnacentral:rRNA from 1 species
GCGAUUAGUCGGCGUUAAUAUAUGACCCGACUAGCAGCUUCCGGGAAACCAAAGUUUUUCGUUUCCGGGGGAAGUAUGGUUGCAAAGCUGAAACUUAAAGGAAUUGACGGAAGGGCACCACCAGGAGUGGAGCCUGCGGCUUAAUUUGACUCAACACGGGAAAACUCACCCGGCCCGGACACCGUAAGGAUUGACAGACUGAGAGCUCUUUCUUAAUUCGGUGGGUGGUGGUGCAUGGCCGUUCUUAGUUGGUGGAGCGAUUUGUCUGGUUAAUUCCGAUAACGAACGAGACUCUGGCCUAUUAAAUAGACGGUUUAUUUCACAGUAGAUCGAACUUCUUAGAGGGACAAGCGGCGUCUAGCCGCAUGAAAUAGAGCAAUAACAGGUCUGUGAUGCCCUUAGAUGUCCGGGGCUGCACGCGCGCUACACUGAAAGAAUCAGUGGGCGUGUUUCCUAGUUCGGAAGGACUGGGUAACCCAAGUAAAUUCUUUCGUGCUUGGGAUAGGGAAUUGCAAUUAUUUCCCUUAAACGAGGAAUUCCCAGUAAAUGCGGGUCAUAAGCUCGCGUUGAUUACGUC